rnacentral:rRNA from 1 species
CAAGCGUUGUUCGGAAUUACUGGGCGUAAAGGGCGCGUAGGCGGCCUGUUAAGUCGAACGUGAAAUCCCCGGGCUCAACCCGGGAACUGCGUCCGAUACUGGCAGGCUUGAAUCCGGGAGAGGGAUGUGGAAUUCCAGGUGUAGCGGUGAAAUGCGUAGAUAUCUGGAGGAACACCGGUGGCGAAGGCGGCAUCCUGGACCGGUAUUGACGCUGAGGCGCGAAAGCCAGGGGAGCAAACGGG